rnacentral:rRNA from 1 species
UACAUCGGUGACAGGUGGUGCAUGGUUGUCGUCAGCUCGUGUCGUGAGAUGUUGGUUAAGUCCCGCAACGAGCGCAACCCCUAUUGUUAGUUGCCAUCAUUCAGUUGGGCACUCUAGCGAGACUGCCGGUAAUAAACCGGAGGAAGUGGGGAUGACGUCAAAUCAUCAUGCCCCUUAUGACCUGGGCUACACACGUGCUACAAUGGUUGGUACAACGAGUUGCGAGUCGGUGACGGCGAGCUAAUCUCUUAAAGCCAAUCUCAGUUCGGAUUGUAGGCUGCAACUCGCCUACAUGAAGUCGGAAUCGCUAGUAAUCGCGGAUCAGCACGCCGCGGUGAAUACGUUCCCGGGCCUU